CGCGUUGUAGCUCAAUUGGAAGAGCGCUGGCUUGAAACCCCAGAGGCUUCUGGUUCGAAUCCAGGCAUCGCGGC
rnacentral:tRNA from 1 species